rnacentral:rRNA from 1 species
GUCCACGCCCUAAACGAUGAUGACUAGUUGUUGGAGGAGUUAAAUCCUUUAGUAACGCAGCUAACGCGAGAAGUCAUCCGCCUGGGGAGUACGGUCGCAAGAUUAAAACUCAAAGGAAUUGACGGGGGGCCCGCACAAGCGGUGGAUGAUGUGGUUUAAUUCGACGCAACGCGAAAAACCUUACCUACCCUUGACAUGUACGGAACCUCAUAGAGAUGUGAGGGUGCCCGAAAGGGAGCCGUAACACAGGUGCUGCAUGGCUGUCGU